UGCUAAGGGUCAAGUUGUCAGGAGAAUUUCUUUCUACUGGACAAGGAUCACUGCAUAUGUUAGAAGACAACAAAGGCAUGACUGUUUAUCUUCAACACUGUAGUAGCAUCGUCAGAUGGAGCCCAGAGGAGCCCUCUGAAUCAGCGACCUCCAAUAGCAUCUGUUGUAAACCACUCUCUUCAGAACUUGUAACUUCAGGUAAUCAGCAAAGAUGUCAUUGGAAGUAUACCAUCCAUGAUAAGUCAGAAGUUCUGGAGACCUGGAGAACAAUGGCGAGGCAGCACCCAAUUUGCCCUAAUGCACCAACCUCCACUGAUAAAGCUUCAGAUAAGCAAAAUGACAUUCCUCAGUAAUUGCUAUUUUUUUAUUUCAUUGCCAUUAGUGUUUGGUAUUUUAAAAAUAUAAAAUGAAAUAGGAAAUGGUUUCGUGGUCCUAUUUCUUAGCAGAGAUAUAAACGCAAGCAGCAGAGUGAGAAUAUAAACCAGGCUGCCUUUCCCUAGGCACAAACAACAGCAGACACAACCUUCUUAGGUAAAAAGAUAAAGAAUAUUUACUCACAACCUUUAAUAUGUUCAGGAAACAUAGGCUCUAGCUUAGAUGAAAGAAAAAUAAAAGUCUUAGUCUAUUUUAGUCUUUGGUAGUGAUGUUCUCAGGAGAGCAUCUGCCAUGCGGCCUCUCCCCGAGGUAAAUAGCUCAGUAAUGUAGAUUAUGCAGGAAUCCCCAGGACAAAGGAGAAGAAAACCAGGUAACUAACCCCACCCAUUAGGAAGUUACAUCAUGGUAAACAGGUACAUGGGAUAUUUCCCAAAUAUCCCUUAAAGGGAACAUCUCCCUUUUACAAGGGAACAUGCAAGUUUGCCUAUUCCAACAAUUAGGACCCAUUAUUUUCUCUGUACCCAUGUGUAUUUAUGCCUUCCAACUGAGAACACGUCAUGCAUGUGAUUAAAAAGGCUCUAGUCUCCAAAGACUUAUACCACAAUAAAUUUGCUAGCCUUCAAUAUACCUCCAGUCUUUGUGAUUUCUCCUACAGCAUAUUAGACAGUUUCCUCCUCUAGAAGUUAUAAAACAUGUGACAGAAACUAAAGUUCCAAUCAUUACUGAGUUUCCUCUUUUCAUCUUACUUGGUCCAUAAUCAAACACAUGCGACCAGAUCAUGCCUUGGCACGGGUUGGGCUUUUUGCUCAUAGGCUUUCCUUUUCAAACAGCAGAACCUUGAUGGAAGACAAAACAGCUGUAUUACAUGUGACCCUUCAGUCAUGUUUACCAGUUGUACACUUUAGUUGGCAAUAUACUUGUUAAUCUGGGUAUUGCAGCCUUUUUAGGGCUAAAAACAGGAGGUUAUCACACCUGGUAAGACACAGUCCAAUGCUAUGAUGCUAUAAACGGGGCAAACCGAAUUUAACAGUCCUGGGACACAGAAAGUACAAGCUGGAUAUAGAAAGGGAAGAGGCAUCAGACAUCAUAUUGCAAACAUAUGUUGGAUAAUGGAACGGAGCAA